rnacentral:lncRNA from 1 species
UCUCUUACAUGAAAAUGGAAUCUAUUUUAUACGUCAUAUAAAGGUAGAAUCCACUUUAUACUUAUGUGAAAAUAUAAAAAAAAUAAAAAUAUUAGUUCUCUUGCACAGAAAGAACUGAUAUUUCUAUAAAAAAUUGAUAUUUUCACAUGAUCUUUCUCUCACAUGGACAGUGAAUGAGUCACGCCUGUACAUGAAAAAAAUUAAGUAAAAAUAUUAUUUUAAUAUAUAAAAAUAUUAGUUACCUAAAAAAAUGAGUUCAAUACAAAAUUAGAGGAUUACUAAUUUCACGUGUACGUACGUUAGCCUCUUAAAUAUGACAUAAAUUUUAUUUUAUUUUUAUCAAAAAUACACUACUUCAACCUACAACAGAGAGAGAGAGAGAGAGGGGGGAAGUAGAGUUUCUGACUGCAGAGUUUGGUACGCAAGGAGGAGGUAUCUGAUUAUUAUAAAGUUAAUUUAAUUUAAAUUAGUCAAUCUAUCUAUCUAUCUAUCUAUUUAUCUAUCUAAUAAAAUAUAAAUAAUUUUGAAUUUUUCGUUCACUCGAUAAAUCACACCGUUAAUACAGUGCCGGCCGGAGACACGGGACACAACUAGUUGAUUAAUAUAGUAUAGUGAUUGAUGCUGACACGCAAAGAUAUCACCUUCCGACAUAGGUGUUGACAUUGUAUUGAUCAAUUAACCAAAAUUAACUUCAUAUUAACCAUCCCGGUAAACAGGUAAGUAGAGACCUGAAAGUGAAGCUAUAAAUUUGCAUAAAUUAUGUGCCUAUCAAACUAAACUUCCCCACCGCCUCUUUUUUGCCAAAAUUUUAUUCAUAGAUCGGAUAAAGAGAGAGAGAGGAUGGCAGAGGGGAAAGAAGGAAAAGUAAUGAAAAACAAACAAAUCAUAUUCAAGGGAUUCAUAGAAAGAGCUCCGCAAGAAACAGAUAUGGAAGUGAAAAUCAGCAACAUAAUUAUUAAAGCAAAUUCAUCAAUUGGAGGAGGAGUGAUGGUGAAAAACCUCUAUCUCUCUUGUGAUCCUUACAUGCGCGGCCGUAUGCGCGACUUCCAUGGCUCUUAUCUCCCUCCUUUUCGCCCCUCUUCG